GCAGUGGGCAUUCAGUGGUAGGAUUCUUGCCUUUUAGGCAGAAGACCCCAGUUCAAUUCUGGCCAAUACA
rnacentral:tRNA from 1 species